AAAGAUUGUUAUGUAUCUGAAGACUUGAGAGCGUUGAGUAGGAAGGAUGGGGAGUGGGGAUUGAAAUUACCUUUCACCUUGCGUACGUAUAUGCAUAUGUAUGGCACAUAUCACGUACAAUCACCCUAGUAAAUGCAUGUAAGUAAAUCAAGGCAUAAAACACUCCAAAAUAUGGGUGCUUACUUAAAUGACGAAUACGAUCUUAUUUGAAUUAAAAUGCAUAGCUUUAUAACAUACAGUAAUAUUCAAAUACAAUAAAAAAGAAUAAUUUCCACUGGAGAAUCUCCUAGAUCGUUUUAUUCAGAUUUACAACCGUCUACGCCAAAUCUAUUUAGUUUAAGCUCACGAACCGUGUAAAAAAGACAACGAAGCAUCUCUUUAUUUGAAGUAUGCUUGCCGAGAGAGUAUGAAAAGAAAUCUCACUGUGAACACCUGUUGUUGAAAUCAUAAUAUUGUUAUCGGAUGGAUUGCUUAAGCCUAGAAGGAACGGAUUUCAUUUCACUAGGUUCUUUCUUUUUAUGCGGAUCUGCUUGGAAACAUUUCCACAAGCGUAACGUUUCAUCGGCUCCUGCGCUAAGGACCGUGGUACCAUCAGGAGACAUAGCCAAAUGCAAGACACGACUAGAAUGUCCUGUAAGCUCUGCGACCUUCGUCAUCCCUGGAUACUUCCAAAUGAUUAAUUGAUUUUGAGCAUAUCCAUGACCGGAAACGAUUUCCUUAAUCGAAUUGUUCUAUCAGCUGUACCACCCCCGCUUGCAAGAAUAUUAUUUUGCCAUGGACACCAUGCUAGUGCUUUUACAGCUGCUUGGUGUUGAUUCAACGAGUAAAGGGGUUGCGU